AAUGACACAAGAACAGAAGAAAAUAUAAUGUACAGCACUGAUAUAAUUCCUGCACAAACAUCCGUAAACGGACAGAGUGAAAGCAUAUUAACAUCAGAUAAAACUGGAAGUCUGCUAACAUCACCAAGCUGAAGAAGCUCAGGAAACCACAUCCGGGAUGGAUAAAGAUAAUCACACAAUUUCAUCCAAGUUUUUGCUUCUAGGCAUCAGGUUUGUUUAGAGUUGCUAUUAUGCAGUGAACACAAGAAGAAAACCAAAAGCUUCAGUACAAUAAAUGUAAGUCCAUGCCAUUUGAAGGAGAAUGUCAGACCUUAACUAUCCAAGGUCACGAGACUACAGUGAUGGUGUUAUAGAAGAUAGUGACAUAAAAAUGCAAUUGUACACUACAAGCACAAGGCACCUCAUUAGUUCGGAAAGUGAAACCACCCAAUCUUUAGCAAGUAAAUUUUCACAAGCAUAAAUCAAUGAAAUUCCAUACUACUAAGAACUUAUUAGUCCUGCUAACAACAGGACCUUUUCAUACAUGAUAAAACUUGAAAAUUAAAACUUGAAUAACAAAUAAACAAUUAAAACUUGGUAAGAAUCAAGUGAGGUAGGUCUUGACCCACCGAAGUAAUUUUUGGACGGAUCAAUAACCCACCGAUUUAUCAACUCAACUCAUUUUGAUCGGUCUAAAUUCAGCUCAAUCCACCAAUUUGUCACAUGUACUCUUUGUAUUCCAAAAAAUAUGUUUCAGUCAUUAUUAUCUCACAUAUAUUAUGAUAUUUAAUAAGUAAACAAAAAAAAAUAUUAUUCAAGAAAAUAUAUAUGGUAUUUUAUAUGGAUAUUAUAUAUGUUGCUAAUGAAUUAUAAAUAUAAUGGAACAGGUUUUACAGAGACAAGUAAGGGGUGUUGUGGGACAGGAACAGUAGAGUAUGGAGAGAGUUGUAAGGGGUUGAAAACUUGUGGUGAUCGAACAAAGUUUGUGUUCUGGGACGCUGUUCAUCCUUCUGAGAAAAUGCAUAAGAUUAUGGCUAAUGAAGCUCUUAAAGCUAUUAAUGUUGAUUUACUCGACUAAUAAUCAUCUUUUUCUUUUUAAUCAUUUUGUUAAUUAUUGUUACUUGUUUCCUACCAAUAGUUUGUAGUCAUCUUUUCCUCUAUGCUUUGUGCCUUAAUUAUUCGAGAUUAAUUAGCAUGUACAGAAGUUAGCUUAUGCUAUUGGAAACUAAAGACGCUGAGGAAACCUCAUCCGGGAUGACAAGAGAUAAUAACCACACAAUUUUAUCCAAGCUUUUGCUUCUAGGAAUCAGGUUUGUUUAGGAUGCUAUUAUGCAGUGGAUGCAAGAAGAAAAGCAAGAGCUUCAACACAAUAAUUGUAGGUAUGUCCCAUUUGAAGGAGAAUCUCAACCCUUAACUAUCCAAGGUCACGAGACUACAGUGAUGGUGUUAUAGAAGAUAGUGACAUGAAUAUGCAAUUGUACAAUGCAUGGCACCUCAUUCAUUCGGAAAGUGAAACCACCCAAUCUUUAGCAAGUAUUCUAGAUUUUCACAAACAUAAAUCAAUGAAGUUCCACAUAGUACUAAGAAGUUAUUAGUCCUGCUAAUAAUGGGACCUUUUCAUACAUGAUCAAAAAGUAUAACAGCUUUUUAUAAUCAUAUACAGGGGAAGUCUAGAUGGGAUAUAUGGAAGAACGGAUGCAAAAUUGCACGGAAAUGAGAGCAAGAAGAGGUCACCUUAAGCAGUAACGAGGGGCGGAAGCCACCAAUCCACAUACAACAACGCUCAGCAGGGGUUUUCCACAUGCCUGACAAGACAUGGACUACGUCCGCCUUGGCUGCAUUUCCUUUCAUCCUAAAGACCUCAUGGUAAUGUGCAGUGACAAUAUCCACAAUACUUCGCAGUUCAGGAUCACUUGCAUGUGAAUUGACAGCGGUCCUUAACUCAUUGAUGUGUUCGUUGUAUUCUUCUAACCAUCGAAUAUAUUCUGUAUCAAAUGCUACGGGCCCUGCAGAACGGUAGCAUCUGAAAGGUCAUCUUAGCACAAGGAAACAACUUUUUGAGUGCAAUCAGGAAUACGAUAAGGGGUUGAACGUCAUCUUAUUAAGAUAAGCCAGUCUAAUACAAAAAAAAAGUGAUGUAUUAAACUAAAUGCAUAAAGCAGCAACUGAUUUGUCCAUCAUCUUUAUCAUAGCAACCAUCACAAGUGUGAGAAUUAUGAACAUCAACCAAGUCCAUGCACAUUGAGGACCUAUUGGAAGCUGCAAUUAACUUUGUUCCUCAAUUUCAAAUUUAAUGUAAUUCACAGUGUAUCCACACACAGAUGGAUUUCACAAGUUAUACCAUCAGUUAAUGGAAAAAUCAGGAUAACUAACGUUCUGCAAUCUUCUUCAAGUAGAAAAAAACAAAUCAUUUCUAGUCUUAUUUGCUUCCAAAACACAGACCACACAAUAAAGUAUGUUCGACUGCAAUCCUUACUAGAAUUACCCAAAUCCUGUAUAAUAAAGAGUAAUUGCUAAAUAACAAGCAACUCCUGGUUCAAUUUGGUAGAAGAAUCCCAUCAAUUUCUUGUUUGUUGAAAUGAAAAAAGGAAGCUAGGGCACACAAGUUCAACGACAAAAAAAAUAGGCCAUACCACUUUCGCGCUGUUGAGGUGCUCGCUGAAAGUCUUGCUCCAACUGCGAUACCUGGACGACUUGGGCUGGCCGGCGGUCACCCCUCCAAAGUGCAGUGGAGCUCACAAGCCUAGGGCCUUCCCUAUCACCCAUUGCAUCCAUUCAGCUAAAUAUUCUGCAUAAAGAGCUCACCCCAUGACUUACAUAUACUAGAGCUUUUUGCUCCACUUUCGUGGAAAGUAGUUGGUGUGAGCAUAUAAGUAUAAUACAUAAUUCAAGAUUUGUGUUUGGCAGGAGGUAUUCUGUUGAGAUUAUUUAUUCUACUAUUUAUAUGUUUGUAAUGGCCUAAUGAGAUAAGUUAUUUCAUGCAUUGAAUAACAUAUUUCGGAAUAGUUAAUAUUGGGAUAACUUGUUUUCAAUCAAUCUAUUCCCCUCGCUUCUCGACUAGAUCAAAGAGAUGAAUUCUUUUAAGGCAAGUCAAAACUUCGUGUAAUAUUAGGAUAGUAAUUAUAUAAUCUAAUAAUUAUGAUGAUCUAUUUAUUUGUCACAAUGUAAUUAUAAAGUACUACUGUUUAGUUGUAUAAUUGCAAUAAUUAGGCUAUAUUAAAUUUUAUAAAUAAAAGUUAAUUAUCUAAAAUUAAAAUUUAUAUUAGACAAAUAAGAUUUUUAUAAAUUAUAUUAAAUUAAAUAUUAUAUAUUGUCUUUAAAAAUAAUUGAUUUAUAUUUUUAAAUUAGUAUAUUUUAAUUAAUUUAAUCAUAAAAACCGAAAGUACAAGAUUAUGAACAUCAUGAAAUGCAUGUUUGACAGAAAGAUUAAUAUUAUAAAUAUAAUGUCAUAAAGUUAUUAAAAUAUUUGACAAAAAAAUAAUAUAUCAAGUCUUAACUAAAAAAUAAAUGAUUUGCAGUGUAAAAUAUCAAGUCAAUACUAUUAAAACAAAUUAAACUAAAACAUAUAACAUAAGUUCUAAAUUCAAAACUAAAAAUUUAAUAUAAUACUCAUAUGAUUUAAAAUAAGAGUCUUAUAACCUUAUUCAACAAUAAAUUAUACUUUAAUUUAAAAUUAGAAUACUAACAAAAUUAUGCUAAUUAAAAAAUAAGAUAAGAUUGGAGGCUCUUACUUUGGAAAGUCCGAGCAACACUACCUAAAUUACAUGCCUAAAUCAGUUUAUAGGCCCAAUCUUCUUCAUGACAUGUCUUUAUUUUCGGAAUUUUAAGCUUGGAGGCUCUUACUUUGGAGAGUCCGAGUAACACAACCUAAAUUACAUGCCUAAAUCGGUCUAUAGGCCCAAUCUUCUUAAUGACAUGUCUUUAUAUCUGGAAUUUUAAGCUUGGAGCCUCUUACUUUGGAGAGUUCGAGGAACACAACCUAAGUUACAUGCCUAAUCGGUCUAUAGGCCCAAACUUCUUCAUGACAUGUCUUUAUUUCCGGAAUGUUAAGCUUGGAAUGGAGGCUCCAACCACAACAAAAAUUACAUGCCUAAAAUCGGUCUAUGGGCCCAAACUUCUUCAUGACAUGUAUUUAUUUCCGGAAUUUUAAGCUUGGAAGCUCUUACUUUCCCUAUGAUGUACACAGCUGAUCAAGAAGUUCACCUUGUUGAAAGUGUAUGACCAUCACAUUGCGCCAUGCCAUUUAAGAGAUUGCAGCAACCUCAUUUUCCAUUGCUGCAACUUCUCUAUGCUAUUUUUGACCUCAAUAUGCGCAUUUCAAACUUGUUAUACCUCCAUUGGUGUGUGUUUUGUGAUAUCAUCUGGUCACAACAUCAGGGGAAAUAGAGCAUACACCUCAAUAGCUUCAUCUCUCUCAUUGAGGUUCUCAUAACGAGCUUCGUGUUUAACUAGUAUUUCUCACCUUUAGCACAUGUGCUACGCCUUUGCAGCAUAUUCAGCAAUUAUUGUAGAUAUAUAUAUAUAAUGAAAGGAUAUGAUAUUAUAACUGCUAUACAUUCAUGCAGGACAAUUCUGUUGUUAAUUGUUUAGCCAGAGUUGCUUUUCCUGUCAUCAAGUUCUUACUAGACCAGAUAAUUUUGGGCUUAGGUUUGGUAGGGGCUGCGCAAACACAGGCACCCACUGCAACAAAUUAUGACAUAGGCUCAACCACUUGGGCUGACCUUAGGCAGGCACCCCUCCAAAGUGCAAUGUAGGUCACAAGCCUGGGUCAUGGGUCUUAUUGAUCACCCAUUGACCCCGUCCAGGUAAGUAUGUUCUCCAGUUAGCUCAGCCAAUUAUUAAUACUUCUGCUUCUGUUCCACAUUUCUCUUAACUUCUGAUGUGGGAGAAUUACUUAGUACUCUUUAUAGCUUUCUGUUUGGAGAUAGUAAAAAAAAACCAGGUAAUGGAUACUAUUUGUUUCUCUUUGAAUACAAAAAGAACUAAAGAAGCUGUUAGAGAACAGUUCUUCAGAUGCAUUUCCAUAUCUGCAAAACUUGACCGCCUAAAACCUAUGUUCCUCGGACUUUUCAACAACAUUGAAACAUGCGUGUAGAAUCCUCCAAAAGUACUCAUUUUUGGAGGAUCCGAUACGAGUGCAACAACAUUUUUGGAGAGUCCGAGCAAUGUAGCCUAAAGUGUAUCAGACCUGAACCAAUCUAUAUUAGGCUCCAAUCUGCUUCAUGACAUGUCUUUAUUUCUGGAAAUUUUAAGGUCUAAGGCUCUUACUUUAUAUAUGAUGCACUCAGCUCAUAUCGACACAUAAUAUUAAAUAGACGAUCUACAAUAUGGUCAUAUGUUAGUCAAUUUGUACAAUAUUAAUCAAGAACUUCACCUUGUUGAAAGUGAAUGGCCAUCACAUUGCUCCUUGCUGUUUGAUCAUACUCCUUGCCAUUUACGCGACUGCAGCAACCUCCUUUUCCCUUGCUGCAACUUCUCUAUGUUUUUUUGUCCUCAAUAUCCAUUUCCUAUUUCAACAUACAUUUCGAAAGUGAGAGAUAGAAAACAAAAGAGGUAUGCUCUGCGGCUAUGUUUUUUGUGGAAUAUCAUCUGGUGACAACAUCAGUGGAAUAGACCAUACACUUCAAUGGCUUCAUCUUUAUUUAGCUGUAUGAAUUAUUUAGCAAUUUAUUUACCCAAUAAAGGAUGGAAAUGUACAAAAUCAUAGACAGGUGUUAUCGUUGAGACCAAAACAACAUUAACUCCGGAAAACAACAGAAGACCUGACAUUUGAAUUGAAAUCACUCAUCUUAGUUUUUGGUAAUGCAGUCAAAAUAGUAGCAAAAUUUCUCUUUGUCCCACAUCCGCAAAACACAGAGCUGGAGAAUGCUACUUAACUGAAGAAACUGAGUAGAAUGGGCCCGCUUGAACAGGAUCUGUUCUAUAGGCUCGUACCACUGCAUCCUUGAUUUUUAAGGAGACAGGAAACCAAGUCUAGUGGAUGAUUCGUAGCCAUUAGACCGAUUUUUAAGGAGACAGGAAACCAAGUCUAGUGGAUGAUUCGUAGCCAUUAGACCGAUUUUUAAGGAGACAGGAAACCAAGUCUAGUGGAUGAUUCGUAGCCAUUAGACCAGAGCGUGAUUAAUAGCUUCCAUGAUCCUCGGGUCAUGGUGCCAUAGAUGAUCGUUCUUAACCUCGAUCAUGGGUGUUGAGAUGGUCUAAUGGUUGUCUGACAGACUUCAAAACAUUGUUUUUGCUGUUAUGGAAUUUCCCAGCUCUGUUUUUUUAAGCUAAGCAAGGCUUCCAUGGCUGCUAAUUGCUAUAAUCACUAGAAAUCUACUUUUGGUUUUCUUCUCAAUUUCAUACGUUUCUUUCUCCCUUUGGUUUUUCUCAAUUCCAAAGAAUUAAUUUUUGCUCCACCAUAUUUGUUCUUCUUUUGCAUUGAUUAACUUUGUAAAAGUGUGGCAUAUAUACUUGUCGUCUCUAUUUACUUAUCAACUAUUUCAUAAUUUGAUUUCUCCUUUUACUUCUUUUUUAUUAUACUCUCAAUUUAUUAAUAUUGAGUUAAUGUCUUUGGAAAAUAUAGCAAGUAAAUAUGUUUGGAACCCUAUCCAUUAAUAAGAGUAAAAUGAUGAACUCAUUAUAUCAAUCAUUGUUUUAUUAAUAGGUGUGUCGAGUCAAAAUUUGACAAAUAAAUAGGGACGGAAGGAGUAUAUAAGUUUAAUCACAGUGUUCGACAGCAACAAUCACCAAGUAGAAGUAGAGAAAAUUAAGACAAAGGUUCCUCAAACAAAAAGAUAUAACCUGUUCUCAGCUUGAUGUCACUCUAAAUAUUUAUCAAAGGAAACAGCAGAAACCCGUGUAGGUAAUAAGAUUAUGUCUCCAACUUCAUGGUCUUGUGACCAAGUUAAAAUAAAGACCUGCUAAACAGAAGCACAAGUCUCAAGUUAAACUAGCUUAAUCUCUCAUUGCUGCUUCAUGUUCCUAUUCCUCUGGCAAAAAGUUAAGAUAAAAUAUGAAUCAAGGCACUUUAAAUAAGAAAAUAUGAGCAUUCCUCUACUGAAUAAAAUUGAAUAGUUACAGCAUAAUUAAGCAAUGUUAGUUUUCAAAGGGAAAUUUUAACUUAGGUUUGGGUAGGGGCCGCGCGAACGCAGGCCCCCGCUGUAACAAAUUAUGACGUAGGCUCGACCACUUGGGCCGACCUUAGGCAGGCACCCCUCCAAAGUGCAAUGGAGGUCACAAGCCUAGGCCAUAGGUCUUAUUGAUCGCCCAUUGACCCCGUCCAGGUAAGUAUGUAAUCCAGUUAGCUCAGCCCAUUAUUAAUACUACUGUUUUUGCUCCACUUCUCUCUCAGAUACUGAUGUGGGAGAAUUAGUCGAAAUGGCGUUACUCUCUUUAGCAUUCUGUUUUGAAAUAGAAAAAGAAAAUCAACAGAUAACAAAAAGUUCAUGCUCCCGAAGCUGACAUUCUCUCCAGCAUAGAUAACAAAAGGUUAGUCACUAGUAACAUAACAAUCAUCAAAAGAAAUGGAGGAAAAAACUAAAGUCUAUACUCAAAGAGAGCAUUCAAGAGAAAUAAUAAAUCAGAUUUGAGUUAUAAAUGGAUAUGGCUCAAUCAACUGAAGAGUGUUGUCUUAAUUAAACAAGGCAAGUUCUCUAAGAAAGGAUGAAUUUUCGAUAACAUAUAUAAUACACACAUUCUUAUAUAGCAUCACCAGCUUCCUCAGGUCAUGUUAGUUUUCAACUUCUUCAAUCUUAUGUCAGGUUGAUUUUGUUCAGAGUCUUAUUCUGUCCCUUCAACAAGAGUCUAGAAGCUUACAUGAAAAUGUAUACAGUAGCAGCUAAUAGGAGUGUUGACUGUAUAGCCAUUGAUCUUACAAACUGAACGACCAUAAGCAAACCGGCCACACCCUUAUCUGUUUCAGCAGAUGGUGGUUUUGUAUUAGAUCUGCCAAAGCAACUCUUGCCAAUGCCAUAUAAACAGUUCCAAUUUCUGUAGAAGUAAGCCAUCUAGAGCUUAGCAAUCUGUAACUAGUCUCUCAAACAGGUAAUAAUUUGUAGACUAAUGGCCUUUGCCAAACUUAAGAAAAUGCAGCACAAACUCUUGGAAUCAUCCACAAGCUGUAUUGAGCAUUGUAUUUAGACUCUACCAAACGACCCGUAAGGCCUUCACCUAUUUAGUUUAGGGUGUAUGUCAAAACUUAUAACCAUAUUAAACAUGCUGCUUACAAAUUUGACAACAAGUUUUAAUUUACUCUUUAUUUUAUAUUUUCAUCAUUCAUUCUUUGUUUAUUUGAAAUUCAGAUGAGCAAAACAAGUUUUGGGCUUAGAUUUGGGCAGGGGCCGCGCGAACGCAGGCCCCCACAGCAACAAAUUAUGACGUAGGCUCGACCACUUGGGUCGACCUUAGGCAGGCACCCCUCCAAAGUGCAAUGGAGGUCACAAGCCUAGGCCAUAGGUCUUAUUGAUCGCCCAUUGACCCCGUCCAGGUAAGUAUGUUUUCCAGUCUGCUCAGCCCAUUACUUAUACUGCUGCUUUUGCUCAACUUCUCUUAGAUAACGAUGUGGGACAAAAUUCAUGAGAGAUGUAUCAUUCUAAUCAAUUUCUUUUCUUCUUUUUUUCUCUCUAUUUAAUGGAUUGUAUCUUUGAUUGACCAAGUACUUACACUUUGUUUGAAUGAUAGUUAUAUUUAUUUUGAUGAAUGUAAUAUUUGAAUAAAGUGACGUUCUUCAUCGUUACAUAACAUCACACAUCGACGAUUUAAAACAACUUACUUGUUCCAAUAUUUUUCUGAAAAAAAAAACUAGUAAUUUAUAUGUUUCUAAUCUUCAACUUGGCAGUGAAAAGUAGAGUAUGACAUUUAUAAUUCAGAAAACAGGAGUAUAAAGACGAAGAAAAAGAAAAAUAUCAGAAUAUCCAUCUUUCUUUUUCCAUAAAUUGGUGUAUUUAGAUUUUAUGGAAGAUAAAUAACAACAGAUUUUAACAUUUCUUGCAGAAAUAUACAAGGGAAAAAAUGAUAAAAUGCUUGUAUAUUUCCAACAUAUCAGAAGAGAACCUUUAAGUCACAAGCUAUAAUUUGUUUUAAGUAUAAAACUUUCUAAAUAUCUAUUACACUUCUUAAUAUCCCUAACUGAAUUUUUUCCUUGUAAAGCUAAAAACACAGGUACAUUAUUGGUUCCUAAGUCGCAGAGUAAAAUUUUGGCAUUCUAAAAACCUAGGAGAUAGAAAACAAAUUUUGCACUUCCACAAGCACAUACAAUACCACUUUACAUAUAGUAACUUAGCUGGAUCUCAUAUACUGGCCAGUGUAUCGAAGUAGUAUAUCCGAGUUUCAGUAGAGUAUUGCGAUGCAUGUCAUACUUAUUGCUCUCGUGGUCUGGCAAGCCAAAGAGAGCUGAGAGCUCGAAGACGUGAGAAGUAUUCACUUAUUGCAAGUAGAGCACGGGCUGAUUGUCUGGUUGUCAAUAUGCGAUGCAUUUGUUGCAAUGUUUGUUGACGCAGGUUGUCCGCCUGUUAAAAGAGUCAGAAAGAUGCAAUGACUUUUAGCUUCACGUAUUUUGCCUCCAGAGACGACAUAAAACUAAUAUAACAAACCAGAAAUCUCUGAACAUGACUGGCUGUCUUGAAUCAUAUAAUUCACAAGAGAGUUACAAGUAUGAGACAGAAGGACAAUUGUUGAUUUAAGAAUGUGUUGGCGAACAUAACCCUUCAGUUAUUUUAUGACCUCAUUAAAGGACAUACAAGAGGACAAAGUAUCCAGACUUUUUGUCCAAAGACCAAUACAAACAAGACAUUCUGAAGAUUCUGUGGGCAAUGCAUGCUGGUUGCAGUUACAAAGACCUCCAGAACAACAUUUGCUUGCCCCCGACUUCCACAUGUUCAAACAACUGAACGAGCAUUUGCAGCUUAUCUAUUGUAAACAAUUUAAACAAACAAAGAAUAGGAAGCAGCAGCAAAAAUAGAGUUACCUGACGGAGAAAACCUUCAAGAGUCCCUAAUUUCCCCAUAGCCAUUGCCAUCUGACCCAUAUAAUUAGCUACAUCUCCUGAUGACCCUUCAGUAGCAGGAGAUCCGUUAGCUAAUGUCUCCGCCAAGGAUUGCUGCAGCGCCUCCAUACCUUGUGAAAGAGCAUCUUCUGCUUGAUGGGAUGACUGCUGCAAGUUGUAAAUGCCAGCUAACUGUUGCUCGGUCAGAGGCUCCAACUGAUUGACUAGAAGCUGCAUUACCAAAGAAAUCAUUUCACGAAAAAUGAGACAACAGCAUACCCAGUGUAAUCCCACAAGUGGAGUCAGGAGAGGAGAGGGUAGAACAUACGCAGACCUUACCCCUACCUUUGUGGGUAGAGAGGUUGUUUAUGAUAGACCCUCGGCUCGAAAGAAAAGAAAAGAAUUUGAAGCAUGGUAGCAACAAAAUAGCAAGGUACAGAGCAAAUGACGAAAAGGAAUAGCAAAAGAUAGCAAUACACAUUAAAGGAAACUACGUGAUUACUAAAUAAUACUACUAAUAAGGAGAAGCGUAGAGGAGGCUAAGGGCUGCCUCUCCCACACAAAGUGUGACAACACUCCUCUACCUACUCGCUACCUACUAAGCUGAAGUUGUGUCAUGUCUUGUCUUGUCUUGUCUUGUCUUGUCUUAUCACCUCCCCCAGUUCUUCCUCAGCCUACCUCUCCCUCUCCUAACUCCUGUUACAAUCAAUCUCCCACGGUCCCUUACUGGUGCAUCCACGCACCUCCUCUUUACAUGUCGAACAAUCUCAGCCUACGGAUUAGAUGCUUAUAAAGAAAUAAUGCAUAAUUUAUAAAGAAGCUCAUACACAGAAGGGUGUUAUCUACAGAAGCAACUUGAAGUUCUUAAAUUAUCAACAUCUGAUUGACUCAUGAACAAAUGACACAAGAACAGAAGAAAAUAUAAUGUACAGCACUGAUAUAAUUCCUGCACAAACAUCCAUAACGGACAGAGUGAAAGCAUAUUAACAUCAGAUGCAACUGGAAGUCUGAUAACAUCACCAAGCUGAAGAAGCUCAGGAAACCUCAUCCGGAAUGGAUAGAGAUAAUCACACAAUUUCAUCCAAGUUUUUGCUUCUAGGCAUCAGGUUUGUUUAGAGAUGCUAUUAUGCAGUGAACACGAGAAGAAAACCAAAAGCUUCAGUACAAUAAUUGUAAGUCCAUGCCAUUUGAAGGAGAAUGUCAGACCUUAACUAUCCCAGGUCACAAGACUACAGUGAUGGUGUUAUAGAAGAUAGUGACAUAAAAAUGCAAUUGUACACUACACGGCACCUCAUUCGUUCGGAAAGUGGAACCACCCAAUCUUUAGCAAGUAAAUUUUCACAAGCAUAAAUCAAUGAAAUUCCACACUACUAAGAACUUAUUAGUCCUGCAAACAAUAGGACCUUUUUAUACAUGAUCAAGUAGUACAACAGCUUUUUAUAAUCCUUUACAGGGAAAGUCUAGAUGAAAAAUAUACAAGAACAGACGCAGAAUUGACCGC
rnacentral:lncRNA from 1 species